CUUGGAAGCAAUGGAAUCCCAGAAGUAUGGAACACACACAUCACCCAGAUUCUGACUUCUAAUACCAGUCUCUAAAGAAAGGAACAAGACAUCCUGGCAGAUACUGUGGAUUCUAGGGCUGGGCAGGGCAUAUAGAAGAAGAGCCUGGCAUGUCUCAUAGUGCCAGAAUGAACAGAGCUGGGACCAGCGAGGUGAAGGGUCUCACUGAGGUCAUUCAACUACAAAAUGCCAGAGCAGGAGUGGAGGCCAAGUCCCCAGGCUCCAAUUCAUGACCUCAAGACCCUGGCAACCACCAUUCUCCUUCCUGCAUCUGUGAAUUUGAUUAGGUACCUCAUGUAAGUGGAAUCAUGCAGUAUGCAUCCUUUCAUAAAUGACUGAUUUAACUUAGCAUAAUGUCUUCAAGGUUCAUGCAUGUUGCAGCAUGUGUCAGAAUUUCACUCCUUUUUAAAGGUAAAUAAUAUUCUAUUGUAUGUUUAUACCACAUUUUAUUUAUAUAUCAUUUGUUGAUGAACACUUGGGUUGCUUCUUCCUUUGGCUUUUUAAAUACUGCUGCUCUGAACAUGUGUGUGCAAAUAUCUGUUCAAGUCCUUGCUUAUUUUUAAUUCUUUUGGGUAUAUACCCGGAAGUGGAAUUGUGGGAUUAUAUGGUAAUUCUGUUUCUAGUUUUUUGAGGAACUGCCAUACUGUUUUCCACAGCAGUUGCCACAUUCUACAUUCCCACCAGCAGGGCACAAGAGUUCCAAUUUCUCCACAUCCUCACGAUUACUUGUUAUUUAUUUAUAUAUUUUUUUGCUAAUAGCCAUACCAAUGGGUGUGAAGUUCACCUUUUUCAUGUGUUGCAAGAAUUUACUUUUACAUGUUAAUUCAUUUAUGCAUUUGAUGUCUUUUUUCCCCCAUCAUGUAUUACAGUAGGUUUAUCUGAACAUCUUGCCCAACCUUUCUUCAGCACUCUGCCAAGUAUUCUGGAUUUUCACAUUUCUGACCACUGCAUCCUAAAAAUUUCUACAGCUCAACUGUAUAUUUGCAGAACACAGCACAAUUAAAAGUCAAGAAGGAGGAGACAGUAAAGGACGAUGAGCAAGUAUGAAGAGAUUCUUCCUUCCCACACUGAGUGCUGUGGUCAGUGCCCCUGUGUCUGUGAGCCAGGUGCCGACUCCCACCCAGUACUCUGGUGAUAUCUGCUGGCCUCCGUGAUUGCUGCUUCGUGAGGUUUCAUUGCUGGGAGGUCUGUGAGCUUCCGGAGGAAGUGGAGGGCCACUUACCAAUCUGUCUGUGAUGCAAACUCACUGGAUGUGCAGUGUCCACCGGGUCCCCUCUGUAUCCUCUCAAUGGAAUUUUUGGGGGGCAAAGGGAAUGGAUUCUAAUGUCAUGUUUCUUGCUGUACUGUAAGGAAUAAAGUCUUUUGUCUCUGACU
rnacentral:lncRNA from 1 species